rnacentral:rRNA from 1 species
GACAAUAUCAUAUUGAAAGACCGGUUCCCAUACAAUCCCUGAAGUUAAGCAACAUUUGAGCCUGUUCAAUACCUAGAUGGGUGACCACUUGGGAAUACCAGAUGCUGUAAG